CUGGAGGAAGCACGGGCUAAGUUCGUGCCAGCAGCCGCGGUAAGACGAACCGUGCGAACGUUAUUCGGAAUCACUGGGCUUAAAGCGCGUGUAGGCGGAUGGGGACGUCGGUUGCUGAAACCCCCCGGCUCAACCGGGGAACGGGCGCCGAAACGCCCCGUCUGGAGGGACGUAGGGGGACCUGGAACUUCCGGUGGAGCGGUGAAAUGCGUUGAGAUCGGAAGGAACGCCCGUGGCGAAAGCGAGGUCCUGGACGUUUUCUGACGCUGAGACGCGAAAGCUAGGGUAGCGAACGGGAUUAGAUACCCCGGUAGUCCUAGCUGUAAACGAUGGGCACUAGGUAGGGGGCUCGCCGAUGGGCUCUCUGCCGCAGGGAAACCGUGAAGUGCCCCGCCUGGGGAGUAUGGUCGCAAGGCUGAAACUCAAAGGAAUUGACGGGGGCUCACACAAGCGGUGGAG
rnacentral:rRNA from 1 species